UCGGCGGUGGGGGUUGGGAGAGCGAGGAGGAGGCAGAGUUAGAGAGCUAGGGGUUGGUGGCGGCGGUGGCAGGAGGCGGAGAGGGGGUUGGGGUCAGCAGCCGCUGGGGAGGGGAAGGGAAGAGAGGGUGCCGGCGCCAGCCUAGGCGCGAGGGAGGAGCGAGCACUGGACCUGGAUCGGCGUACCGUGCCGGUACCGGUACCGUCGCCGGUCUAGGUGGGGGAGGGGACGAGGCAAGGGAGCUGUGGGCCACCAGUAAGAGGGAAUACGGUGGGCGGGGGGAAGAAGGAGGGCGCCGUCGAGUGGGCGUCGGAAGGGGCACCGAGAUCCCAAAACCCCCGCCGCCGCGGAGGUAACGGCCAUACCGAGGCCGCUGAGAUGUCCGAGGAGGGGCUGUAGAUGACGCGACUCUGUCGGCGCAGAGACUGAACGGCGAAGGGGUCACCGACGAUGACCUGGGCUAGGGAGGAGCAACGGACUACACCCACCACGUCACCGACGUUCUUGUGCGAGCCGUCGCAGAUCCGGCCCAGCUGAUCCCGCCGGCUGUCGCCACCGAUGAAGGAAUGUUCCUGACGUUCGAGCGGGUGCUGAUGUGCUGGGAGGUCCAGGGCAGACGUACGGGCGAGGGAGGAGGGACGGAGGAGUUCCAUCCGGCGUUCGCCUGAACUGUUCGAAUACUCAAGUCGUAUACUCGAGAGACUGUAAAUGGUACGCGGCACAAUACAAGUCGAAGAAUACACAGUACCUUUACAGGAACACAACGUA
rnacentral:rRNA from 1 species